AGGUCUAUGGCUUAGUGGCAGAGCGCCUGUCUAGUAAACAGGAGAACGUGGGUUCGAUUCCCAAUGGAGCCU
rnacentral:tRNA from 1 species